CACACUAUUGGCCCAACUAACGGAGGGGGCGGGACUAUUUGUUUGUCCAGACAAUGGAAACGGUUGAAACGUUGGCCGAGGAAUUGAAGGAGGGACUCGUACUCAACUGUGUGGUGUGAUGUGGAGUCGGUGCAGUGGUCUCCUGUUGUGUGUGAGGUGCGAAAGGCACUGCACACUUCUUGAGGAGUUGAGGACAGAUUGAGUUCUGUACUGCUGAACAGCUGUCAUUCCCUGCUCACUGUCAGACAACAUUCAGGGACGCCUGGGGUUCUGACAGCUCUACCACCAUCCACAACGUUUAUUUAUCUGAGGAGGAGAAAGAGAAGCUGGAGUGGAUGAUGCUCAGCGUUGAUAUCUGUUCAGAGAGCGGCAGAGGGAAUGAAAGAAUGGAAGGAGGAGGUGCAAAGAAGAGGAGGAGGUAAAAAUAAAUUGCAUUCCCCUCCUAACAGGGAGCCUUCACUAAUUAUGCUGUUUGAGUCCUCACAGAAGCCAAGUCUUCUAAAUAGACCUGUGCUCGG